AUCUAUGGCCAUACCACCCUGAACGUGCCUGAUCUUGCCUGAUCUCAGAAACUAAGCAGGGUUGGGCCCAGUUAGUACUUGGAUGGAAUGUCGCCUGAAACAUCAGUUGCUGUAGGCU
rnacentral:rRNA from 1 species